ACUCCUACGGGAGGCAGCAGUGAGGAAUUUUGCGCAAUGGGGGCAACCCUGACGCAGCAACGCCGCGUGAGUGAAGAAGGCUUUAGGGUCGUAAAACUCUGUCAAAUGGGAAGAAUGGUGCAACAAUGAAUAAGUGUUGUAAUUGACGGUACCAUAGA
rnacentral:rRNA from 1 species